rnacentral:hammerhead_ribozyme from 1 species
AUUCAACUGACGAGUCCCAAAAUAAGACGAAACGCACAUCGUGGAU